AGUGAGGCUUCUUAAGGAGUGGAGGAAAGUGGAUGUUUUCAAGUUCCCACUUCCAACCCUCAGCCUCCGGUAAUCACCAUUCUACUCUCUACUUCUGUAAGUUCAGCUUUUUGAUUCCACACAUAAAUGAGGUUAUGCAAUA